rnacentral:siRNA from 1 species
UAGCACUCAGGACUUUGAAUCCUGC